CAGUGACUACAACAUAUCUUUUCCCUUCCCUUUUCUCUCUUUCCACCGAUCUCACUUCCUUAGUCUUUUUCUACCUAAUUUUUUUAGGGUUUUUUUCCUUCCAAAACUCGAUCGAUUCAUUAAAGAAAAGAACUAGGUGACCACCUUCCUCUUUAUUUUCCAUCUUCUUCUAGAUUCUUCUAUUCUUUCCGAGGUUAUUACGCCACUAGACAAAUGACUCUCAUCUUGUUCAGAAAAUUAGAGGUUUUGGAUUUCAUUCCGUAACUAAGGUUCGCCAUUUUGGAGGUUUUAAGGUUUUGAAUUGAUUGCAGUUGUCUUAAGAAGUAGGAAAAAUUUGUCUAGGCUUCAAAUGAAGAUCUUUUGGUUCAACGAAUAUGGAAUAAAAUUUGUUCUGAUAGACUACAAGACAUGCUUUCAGAAGAGAAGACACAAGUAAGGAAAGAAGCCAACACAAAAGACAUCGUAGACUGCAAAGGCAUGCCGAGGCAAUGGAUCACAAAUGAAGCUUGGGAUAUCCUUAUCAAUGCGGUAUGGGGUGGAGAAGAAUGGAAAAACAAAUUGGAACAAGGAGGAAUCGUUUAACACAAAAAGCAAGAAGUAUUACAAAGCACACUGGUGAUUCAGUUCCAUUCAUUGUUCAUGCAAAAAGGAUGGUAUGAAUUAAUAUUUAUUUGUUACACUUUACAUACUAUUACUUCCCAUAUUCUAAUAUGCUUUACAUGUUAUGUAAAAUAUAUGCAUUAUGAUUGAGUUUAAUUGUAAAUGAUUGUAGGCAAAUGAGAUGAAUCGAGAUGUUAGCUUUGUGGCAGUAUUCAAUCGCACUCAUAGACAUUUAAGGGGUCAUGGAAACAUAUAUUGCUACAUUAUCACAUAAGUACGGUGAAGAUUCAUCCUCACAACUAGAAUUAGAUUCGCAUGCUUGGACUAAAGCAAUUGGAGGGAUGAUAAUUACACGCACUUAUGUGUAUGGGUUUGGUUCUCAGGGACCUGCUACAACUAUACUAAAUGAUGCAGUAACAUCUGAGUUAGUAGUUAACCUUUGCAUUGGUUUUAACAUUCGGUUAAAAGAAAAAGUGAAAAAUCUAUCAAAUGACAUGAGUCAGAUGCGUGAGCAAAUGACGCAACAUUUUGGAGCCAUGAAUGAAUUUAUAGUAAGUAUGAAAGCAAUGAUGAUAAAGAGACGUUCAAGAAAAGGCCAUGUGAGUUCUUCGAGUUUAGCUUCUGACAAGUAAGGCGACAGUUCAUGAUGAUAGCUUAUUUUUUAAAUUUGACUUAGAUAUUUUUUUUAA